GUCGAGGGGCAUCGGGAGGAAAGCUUGCUUUCCUUGCCGGCGACCGGCGCACGGGUGAGUAACACGUAUGCAACCUGCCCUCUUCAGGGGGACAACCUUCCGAAAGGGAGGCUAAUCCCGCGUAUAUCGGUUUCGGGCAUCCGUUAUCGAGGAAAGAUUCAUCGGAAGAGGAUGGGCAUGCGGCGCAUUAGCUAGACGGCGGGGUAACGGCCCACCGUGGCGACGAUGCGUAGGGGUUCUGAGAGGAAGGUCCCCCACACUGGUACUGAGACACGGACCAGACUCCUACGGGAGGCAGCAGUGAGGAAUAUUGGUCAAUGGGAGAGAUCCUGAACCAGCCAAGCCGCGUGAGGGAAGACGGCCCCAUGGGUUGUAAACCUCUUUUGUCGGAGAACAAAACCCGGGACGUGUCCCGGACUGCGUGUAUCCGAAGAAAAAGCAUCGGCUAACUCCGUGCCAGCAGCCGCGGUAAUACGGAGGAUGCGAGCGUUAUCCGGAUUUAUUGGGUUUAAAGGGUGCGCAGGCGGAAGAUCAAGUCAGCGGUAAAAUUGAGAGGCUCAACCUCUUCGAGCCGUUGAAACUGGUUUUCUUGAGUGAGCGAGAAGUAUGCGGAAUGCGUGGUGUAGCGGUGAAAUGCAUAGAUAUCACGCAGAACUCCGAUUGCGAAGGCAGCAUACCGGCGCUCAACUGACGCUCAUGCACGAAAGUGUGGGUAUCGAACAGGAUUAGAUACCCUGGUAGUCCACACAGUAAACGAUGAAUACUAAUUGUUCGGGGAGAAUGAUCCCUGAGUGAUACAGCGAAAGCGUUAAGUAUUCCACCUGGGGAGUACG
rnacentral:rRNA from 1 species